rnacentral:rRNA from 1 species
AACGAACGCUGGCGGCAUGCCUAACACAUGCAAGUCGAACGGAACCUUCGGGUCUAGUUGCGCACGGGUGCGUAACGCGUGGGGACCUGCCCUUAGGUUCGGAAUAACUCCCCGAAGGGUGUGCUAAUACCGGUUAAGGUCUUCGGACCAAAGAGUUCUCGCUUUUGGAUGGGCCCGUGUUGGAUUAGCUAGUUGGUAGGGGAAAAGCCUACCAAGGCGACGAUCCUUAGCUGGUCUGAGAGGAUGAUCAGCCACACUGGGACUAGGACACGGCCCAGUAUGCUACGGGAGGCAGCAGUGGGGAAUAUUGGACAAUGGGCGAAAGUCUGAUAAAGCAAUGCCGCGUGAGUGAUGCAGGCCUUAGGGUUGUAAAGCUCUUUUAGCCGGGAUGAUAAUGACAGUACCGGGAGAAUAAGCUCCGGCUAACUACGUG